rnacentral:rRNA from 1 species
UACGAAGGUCCCAAGCGUUAUCCGGAUUUAUUGGGUUUAAAGGGUGCGUAGGCGGUCUAUUAAGUCAGUGGUGAAAGCCCCAAGCUCAACUUGGGAACUGCCAUUGAUACUGAUGGACUUGAGUACAUUUGAGGUGGGCGGAAUGUGUCAUGUAGCGGUGAAAUGCUUAGAUAUGACACAGAACACCGAUUGCGAAGGCAGCUCACUAAACUGUAAACUGACGCUGAGGCACGAAAAGCGUGGGGGAGCAAACAGG